rnacentral:rRNA from 1 species
AUACGGAGGACGCGAGCGUUAUCCGGAUUCAUUGGGUUUAAAGGGUGCGCAGGCGGCCGUGCAAGUCAGCGGUGAAAGCCCGGGGCCCAACCCCGGAAGUGCCGUUGAUACUGCAUGGCUUGAAUGCGGUCGAGGCGGGCGGAACGGGGCGUGUAGCGGGGAAAUGCGUAGAUAUGCCACAGAACGCCGAUAGCGGAGGCAGCUCGCCAGGCCUGCAUUGACGCUCGGGCACGAAAGCGUGGGGAUCGAACAGGAUUAGAUACCCUGGUAGUCCACGCCGUAAACGAUGGGCGCUCGUCGUCGGCGGCAGACAGUCGGCGGCCAAGCGAAAGCGAUAAGCGCCCCACCUGGGGAGUACGGUCGCAAGGCUGAAACUCAAAUGAAUUGACGGGG